CCUACGGGUGGCAGCAGUGAGGAAUAUUGGUCAAUGGGCGCGAGCCUGAACCAGCCAAGUAGCGUGAAGGAUGACUGCCCUACGGGUUGUAAACUUCUUUUAUAAAGGAAUAAAGUGAGGCACGUGUGCCUUUUUGUAUGUACCAUAUGAAUAAGCAUCGGCUAACUCCGUGCCAGCAGCCGCGGUAAUACGGAGGAUGCGAGCGUUAUCCGGAUUUAGUGGGGUUAAAGGGUGCGUAGGUGGUUAAUUAAGUCAGCGGUGAAAGUUUGUGGCUCAACCAUAAAAUUGCCGUUGAAACUGGUUGCCUUGCGUAUAUUUGAGGUAGGCGGACUGCGUGGUGUAGCG
rnacentral:rRNA from 1 species